GGUAGAUCGGUUGAAAAAGGAAGUACAAAUAAAAAGAAGUCUAGGUCAAAAUCUAGAGGACAUAAUUCUAAAUCCUGUCGCUAUUGUAAGAAAGAUGGGCAUGAAAUUUCUGAAUGCUAUAAAUUGAAAAAUAAAAAGGAGAGAGAAGGAAAAUCAAAUCAACCACAGAAAUCUACUGCUGAAGCUAGUGUCAUUGAAACUGAAUCUGAUGGU
rnacentral:lncRNA from 1 species